AUCGGGAUGUGUUUGCUCCAGUACCAGGAAAGACUCAUGUUAUUAAACAUGACAUAAUUACGGAACCUGGAAAAAGGGUUAACUUAAAACCCUACCGAAUCCCAGAGGCCAGAAAAGAAGCCAUUAAAGCAGAGGUCCGAAAGAUGCUUGAGCUAGGGGUUAUCGAGGAAUCCCAUAGUGAAUGGAGUAAUCCUAUAGUGUUGGUACCCAAGCCAAAUGGAG